GAGUUUUGAUCAUGGCUCAGAUUGAACGCUGGCGGCAGGCCUAACACAUGCAAGUCGAACGGUAACAUUUCUAGCUUGCUAGUAGAUGACGAGUGGCGGACGGGUGAGUAAUGCUUGGGAACUUGCCUUUGCGAGGGGGAUAACAGUUGGAAACGACUGCUAAUACCGCAUAAUGUCUUCGGACCAAACGGGGCUUCGGCUCCGGCGCAAAGAGAGGCCCAAGUGAGAUUAGCUAGUUGGUAAGGUAACGGCUUACCAACGGCGACGAUCUCUAGCUGUUCUAGA
rnacentral:rRNA from 1 species